rnacentral:rRNA from 1 species
GACAGAGGGUGCAAACGUUGUUCGGAAUUACUGGGCGUAAAGCGUGCGUAGGCGGUUUGUUAAGUCCGCUGUGAAAGCCCUGGGCUCAACCUGGGAAUUGCAGUGGAUACUGGCAAGCUAGAGUGCGGUAGAGGAUGGUGGAAUUCCCGGUGUAGCGGUGAAAUGCGUAGAGCUCGUGAGGAAGACCGGUGGCGAAGGCGGAUCCCUGGACGGCCCCUGACGCUGAGGCGCGAAGGCUAGGGGAGCAAACGGG